rnacentral:rRNA from 1 species
GACGAACGCUGGCGGCGUGCUUAACACAUGCAAGUCGAACGGAAAGGCCCCCACCUUGGUGGGGGUGCUCGAGUGGCGAACGGGUGAGUAACACGUGGGUGAUCUGCCCUGUACUUCGGGAUAAGCUUGGGAAACUGGGUCUAAUACCGGAUAGGACCAUGGUUUAGUGUCUCAUGGUGGAAAAAUUAUUGUUUUGGUGCAGGAUGAGCUCGCGGCCUAUCAGCUUGUUGGUGGGGUAAUGGCCUACCAAGGCGUCGACGUGUAGCCGGCCUGAGAGGGUGGACGGCCACAGUGGGACUGAGAUACGGCCCAGACUCCUACGGGAGGCAGCAGUGGGGAAUAUUGCACAAUGGGCGCAAGCCUGAUGCAGCGACGCCGCGUGGGGGAUGACGGCCUUCGGGUUGUAAACUCCUUUCGUUAGGGACGAAGCCACACCUUUUUGGGGUGUGGUGACGGUACCUUUGUUAAGAAGCACCGGCUAACUACGUG